rnacentral:lncRNA from 1 species
GAGUUUUUUCUAGUGAUUUUAUAUUAGCCUCGUGCUCAGAGGAGGGGGGGCAGGUUUUUAUUUUUAUUGAACAUUUGCUGAAUACAAAAAUGGAACAUUUAUAACAAUACAACAUCAGAAUACAACACAAUUCCAAAUGCAGAAUAAAAUUGUUUCAACCUGAUGAUAACCUUAACUGUUAAGAACAAAAUUAUAAGUACUAUUCAUUUCUAAAACAAAGUGGGGUUCAAUAAUAACCAAAUGAGGUGACCGCCUCGUGCGCGUAAAGACGCGCGUCAGUAUCGCCCUCAUCAGUUUCCGGAGCUCGCGCCGGGGAGUGAGCAGCUUCACGCGCGCGGAUCAAAUCGAUUAGAUGUGAUCUUUGCGCCGUCUGGGUCCGGAAACCGUCCCUGCAGCCGCUCCUCGGACUCUCCGACAUACAGGAGGACGCGCGUGUUUCAAUUCUCCUCUUAGAAAGAUCUCCCAUUCAUGAACAGAGACAUUCAGCGUCCCGUCUCCCUGAGGAUGACCCCGUGUUUCCCUGCAGGAUCCAGCUCUGUCUGAUCUUCUUCCUGUAA